rnacentral:rRNA from 1 species
UACAGAGGUCCCAAGCGUUGUUCGGAUUCAUUGGGCGUAAAGGGUGCGUAGGUGGCGCCGUAAGUCGGGUGUGAAAUUUCGGAGCUUAACUCCGAAACUGCAUUCGAUACUGCGGUGCUUGAGGACUGGAGAGGAGACUGGAAUUCAUGAUGUAGCAGUGAAAUGCGUAGAGAUCAUGAGGAAGACCAGUGGCGAAGGCGGGUCUCUGGACAGUUCCUGACACUGAGGCACGAAGGCCAGGGGAGCAAACGGG